UCUGGUGAUGAUGGCGGAGGGGAUCCACCCGUUCCCAUACCGAACACGGAAGUUAAGCCCUCCAGCGCCGAUGGUACUUGGGCUUAAGCCCUGGGA
rnacentral:rRNA from 1 species